rnacentral:misc_RNA from 1 species
AGUUCUUUGUUUUGUUUUGCCGGGUGGUGGGGGAUGGCUGUCGCAGGCGUACGCACGCCCCUUCCCCCCUCCCCGUCCCUGACUCCUGUCCGCUUACUGGCGCACGCUCACAGACGGACCCUCGUCGCCGCGACACCAACGUAACGGAACGCAGCGGCGGCGACAAUCAUGAAUGCGUAUAGCUUGCACGGAAAGAGGUGCGCCGACCCCAGCCACUGGCCGCAGUGGAUUCCUCUCACUGGGGAAUCGAACGCCUCCCUGCCCGUCCCACCCCAGCCUCCCUCCUCCACACUGUCGACGAACGCGACUUCGUCGCCCGGCAUUGACGAGCACUCGCGGGAGGCCUGUAUGAACGCACUGCUGCAGUAUGUGACACAGUGGAUGGCCAUCUUACCAAGCGGUGUCAGCAGCGGGACAGAAGCGGCGCUGCAUGGCGCAGGAAUCGCUACAGGGACCUUCUCCAUGAACGCAACAGACAGCGCAUGCGCGUCGCUGUCGGUGCAGCCAGUAGCCAUGCUGAACGCGAUGCUGGUGAGUCUGCCCACCGCCGUGGCGGCCCCGCCCGUACAAGGACGGCAGCAGGGGGCCGCGUCGCCUCCGCGUCCCGAAGAAGCCGCUGAGCCUGGCUCGUCGCUGACUUCCACCAAGGUGCCAGAGCUCACUCCUAUAAUUGAGGAUACCCCUGCACGUCCUCCGCAGCUACUGGACGUGGCUGCGCAACUGCUGCGCCACAGCAAGUGGCUCGCCUCGGGACUAUCGCACGCCGCUGGACCGGCACCGCGGCUGCCAUCUUCAGCUCUCGUCUCUCACGCCUACCAACACGCGUUGCUUGCUGCGUGCAGUUCUGACUGGGUGAUGCAGUUCCGCCGCGCAUACAAGGCGGGGACAGCGACGGACAGCACCACCACAGCGAAGGCAGACGCGCGCGGCCUGUCAGCGCCGCUUCCAUGGACGCUGCCGCCUGCAGUUCUCGUGGAGUCGUCUACGAGCGGAUACGUGAUGCAGCCGAUUGAGGGCUACCGCGGUACGCUCGUCUUGCUUCUGUUUCAUCCACUGCGCGUCGUGCGCGUUUGGGCGCGAGAUGUGCUGCUUCGCUUGAUGACGUGCACCGCGCCGCAGCACGAGGCGUCAGCGCCGGGCGAGUCGAGCAGCGACGGCGGCGAGCGUGCGCUCGCAACUCUUCUCUCCUUUUCGCUGCGGCUGCUGUGCACGCUGAAGCACGUGUCGGUGCUACCGGCUCAGGUUUCCUUUAUCAGCCUCCACGAACAUCCGUCGUGGACUGCAAGCGCGGCCCCGGAGCGGCACGUGGACGCGGUCAAGUACGUGAUGCAGGACCGCAUUCACACCGUCGUCGACGGCAUCUUCCACCUGCUCACGGUGCUCACCGCCUGGGACAUGCACUUUGGGAAGGCGGUGGAAGCCCUGACGAUGACAUCGACCGCAACUGUCGACCGCGCAUCUGCCACAUCGAUGCCUAUCCUACUGGGCAAGUGCCGUGCAACAGUCCUGCUGCUCGGAGGCAGCCUCGUGCUCUACGGACUGCAAGGACUGCAUCAAGGCAUCCAUCGCGCGCUACUCGAGGCGUGGCGAGAUCAACAGCAUCGACACCCGCGGAGCUCCUCCGCACGCGGGGAUCUGUUCUGUGCAUCGCAGGCGGCCAUGACGCAGCUGCUGGGCCCUCUAAACACUCUUCUUUCCAGUAAUCCGCGCAUGCCACGGGCGAAUGCGGUGGCAGCGACUGCCAUACGUAAGGCGCUCGCUAAGGUCCUCGUGCACUGUCUCCUGGACAACGCCAGCGGUCUUGCGAGCAGCAAGGAGGAGGAGGCGUGGCGCAGAGCGCGGCUGGAGUGGCUCUGGAUGUUCGCGGCAGCGCUCGAGCCGCCGACGCCGCGGGCAGCAGCACCCCUGCUGGCCGAUGGUCCCAACGCGUCUGCGCCAUCCUCUGCGGACCAUACCGGCACGGCUGCGCCUGAGCACCAGGGCAGUGGCACAACGAAGGCGACUGGGCAAGACGAUGUCGGCACAGGAACGCUGGUGUGGGUGCCGGAGAGAUGCGCUGGUUGGUUGCUGCGGCCGCUGUUGAAGAAUGCGGCGCAACAGUUCCAGUGGGCGAAGGCGAUGGUGGCUGCGAAGGCAAAGCCGAGUGCCGGGGGCGCGGCGACUGCGUCGGACGGCACGGAUAGCGCCAUAGCAGUGCUCGACAAGGCCGUGUACGGUGUCUCUAUGCUGCUCGACAGCCUCGCCACAGCGCUUCCACGCCUCGUGCGUAGCACUUACCUGCACGACACACUGGUGGCGCACGAGUCGCAACUCCUCACGCUGGCGAUUGGCGGCAUCGUGCACACCCGCAGCACACACGCGUUGCGCCUGCAUCGUCUUCUCUUUCACGCGGAUGUGCACGCGUUCGCGGCGGGUGCUGCGGCCCAGGGAAGGGGUGGCACUGCGCCAGCCGGCACGCUUGGUGUCCCGAGCGUGUGCCUUCAGCGUUUGUGGCUCACGCUGCCAACGCUCAUUGUGCAGGUGUGCAAGAGCGGCGCCGUCUCUCCGGCAGACUGCGGCGGUCACGCAGGCAGCGCCAUCAGUGGCGGCCCUCUUCCCCUCUCGGAAGUUGUGGCGAGUCUCUGCGGGGCGCUGACGGUUCUGGCGGAGGAGGACGCGAUGCCGUGCCCACAGUGGCUCUUCAUGUCCCCAGCAAAGGUCAUGUCGCGCGCGCCGCCACCCUUUCAGUGGGUUGUGCAGCGCUGCCUGCGCACCUUGGCAGGCACGCUUCAAGAGCAGCAGGAACUGCUGAAGCGGGUGUGGCUGAGGCUACCCUCUGCGCCGACGGAGGCAGCCUACGCCUCGGCAGCCGCAGCAGCAGCGUCUCGGGCGUUGACGCAGGAAAGGCCGCUUCUGCGCCUUCUCUUCGCCCUGCGUGUUGCCGCUGCCGAAGACGCGGAGGCUGGCAAGCUCGCUGAGCGGCUCACCGCUGUGUUCUGCGUCGGCGUCACGAGCUCCGUCUCCCGCACGCUGUCGACCGAGGCGGCCAUGUGGGUGUGGAGACGCGUCGUGGUUACGCAGCCGGAGCUGCGCCUCCAUCCACCGCCUCCCUCUACGGCCUCCACAGCCGCCGCGGCUGCUGCUGCUGGUGAUGGCGCCUAUGCGGCGUGGGACAUGAACGACGCUGUCGUCACGAGCACGGCACGCGCACAGGGGCACCGAUGGCUGGUGCUCCUGUGCGCGUGCCACUUUGACCAGAUGAGCGAGUGGGAAGUGCAGUGCGGGUGGUGGAUGGCGGCGCUGCUGGCGGACGUGGUGACGCUGGACGUGGAGCAGCGUCGCGCGCUUGCUGAGCAGGUUAUUCUCGCUCUUCCCACGGCCCCCAUGCUGGCCCUCAGCGAAGCAGCCACGCACGCGGUGGGCAGCACCCAUCCGCCAGUCGAGGAGGCAGCGGAGGGCCAGUGCGGCGCUAUAGAGAAGAAGGGCGAGCAUCAACUGCGAGACAAGGGGGCGGAGUCGGCGCAGCACCGCCACAGUGUUGUUCAACGGCUCUUGAUCCACGUGCUUCGCAAGGCGGAGCAGUACCCGCAGGCAAGCCUUGCCAGCGUGCUGCUGCGUAUCAGCGACGCUCUACCGCCGGCCGUGGCUGCGCGCGAUGUGCAGUUUCAGCAGCAGGUCCAGCCGCUGCUGGUGCAGCUGUGCGCACGCAGCCCUGACGUGCAGAAGUGCCUUACUCGGAAUGGCGCCAUGUGGCUGCGCCGCUGCACCGAGCAGGCUACACAGACGAUCAACGAGUGUCUGGCAGAGCAGGAGCGCCGCUUCCGUCAAUUCGAGCUCGAGGAGGCUACGCUGCGGCGAGAGGAGGUGGAGGCGGCGCAGGCGGCCGUCGCGGCGGAGCGCUUGCGGCACGCGAACGAGGCGAAGCGGACGGCGGAGUUGGGCCAGCAGCGGGUCGUCAAGCGGUCCACCGCGGCGUCGGAGGUGUCGCAGAGCGGCAGUGACGGCGGUGUAGUCAGUCUCCCCAUGCGCAAACCGACCACCACGGUAUCUCAUCACAGCGACCACGGCAGCUCUGCCGUUGCAGCGACACGCCGUGAUCUGCGGCAGCAGCAACUCUUCCCGGACCUAUCCCUCGCUCACUUAGCGGUGAAGCGGGAGCGUACGCCGCCCGUCGAUGGCGCAGACAUGCGCAGUCCCAAGAGCGUGCCACCGCGGCCGGCUGACAACGGCUCAUCUGCGAUGACUGCGCUGAACGUGGACAGCGACGAGGAAGACGUGAUGGUCGCCGCAUCCACGGUGCAGCUGCUCGGCAGCUUUGCACGUCCUGCUUCGCCAUGCGCGGUCACACCACCAUCACCCGCAUCCGCGCCGGCGCCGCUUGCCAAGGCGCCGAAGACGUCCCCGUCGACGACGGCGUCCACCACGGCGCGGGCAGCUCCGACGCGGCUGCAGCACAAGCUGCAGGAAAUCAAUGCCCGCAACACGCACCGGGUCCAUCACGCCGAACAGCUGCGCCAGCUGCAAGAGCGCCUGCGCCGAGUGGCCAUCAGCACGAAUCUCCUUCACCUGCAGCCGCCACUCGUCCACGACAUCGUUGGCCCUGCGUCGCAGUGCAUGGCUCCUGAAGUCCCUGUGCUGCCAGAGGUGUUCGUGUCUGCGUCCGAUGGGUUUCGGCGGGUCUCAUUUGACGGGUCCGCCGCCUCCGCUGGUGGUGCAUCGCUCAACGCGUCUGCCACGAUGCCCUUCGGCGACGCAGCGAGCGAGUACGCGGUGCGCUUCGCGCCGCACAUUGCGUUGGAGCUGCGCUACGACAUCAUUCGCAACUACGAAGACUUUCUGGACGAUGUGUGUAAGGGACACGACGGACGCGACACGAACUCGUCGCAUUACUACCGUCACUCAGCCGCGACGGCACCAGUGACAGCGGGCGAAGGGGCAUCGCCGUCUCCCGUGAAUGGCCUGUGGAACAGUCUGCUGCCGCUGCAUCCAGGCAUCCCGCCGGCGUGUGUGGCGGUGCAGAGCAGCUGCGCGGCGUCACGCGGGCACAGCGGCGAGGCCGUGCCGGGUCCGCAAACUCUGCACUUUGAUGUGCGAGCGUGCGCCAACCCCGCUGUCGACGUGUAUCUGCAGCGGCAGCAGCAACGGGCGCAAGACACCCAUUCGAGUGCGCAGAGAAGCUCAACAACGUCGACGACCAUGCACCCCAAGUCUGUUCAUGCGGUGGUGGUGGCGGCCGCGCAGCAGGGGCUCUCUGCCGCCUUCUCAGAAGGCGACGUCGUCGCGGUACUGCUGCCUCUGCAAACAAUUUUGGCCAAGUGGGCCGAGCGCGAGCUGCGGCGCCCUCUCUCCGACUUCCCCGUUGCCGAGCUUGAGCAUCGCGUCCUCGAGAUGCUCGACACUCUGCCGCGUAGUUGGCGCACCCUCGGCUGCGCUGUGCAGGUGUGCGAAGUGCAGUCGCUGUCGCCAGGGGGGCGUGCGGCACACCUCUGCGCAACUCCAUCGGUGGUGGAGCAAUCAUCAGGCGGGCACGGACCUCCCUCGCUGCGCUUCUCUCACGUAUUUCGCAUGGCGUACGACACGACAUCGUCGCCAACCUUCUACGUCACGAAGCUCACCUCUGUCAACGCCUCGCUGAUGGAGCUGGAGGCACUGCACAAGAUCGACCGUACCCGCUUCGCCGCAACUCUCUACGACCCGCGCAGCACGGCACCUGUCGGUGUGGCCUUCUGCGGCUGGGCCAACUCGCUCCUCUCCACCGCAGGCCCGUCUUGCACCGUGCCGCUGCUCGACCAGCUGCGCGCGCGCCUGCUCCUGCAGCAGCAGCUCAACGACUGGCAGGCUCGCGCCAUCGUGGCCGUGCUGUACGCCGCGUGUCCUGGCUGGGACGACGGGGUGGCGGAGCAGAGCACACGGGCGCCUGUGCCGCGCGCACCGGAGAUGCUCGUGAUCGAGGGCCCACCGGGCACCGGCAAGACGCAGACCAUCGGUUUGCUGACGCUAAACCUGCUGCACCACCUCAGCCGUACGUGGGGCACGGCGCGGCGUAUCUUGGUGUGCGCGCCGUCGAACUGUGGGGUGGAUGAGGCGCUGCUGCGUGUGGUGCGGCUGCGCGAGCAGCUGCGGGGAGCUGCGCCCGGUGGUGCGCUACCGCCUGCGCAUGCGGUGCUCGCCGGCGGACUGCUGCGCAUCGGUGUGCGAGAUAGGGUGGACAGGGAAGUGCUGCGGCUGCAGGAGCCCGUCUUCUUCGACGACGUUGUCGAGCGGCACCUGAGCGGCACCCCGGCUACUGCAGAGAGUCUCAGGCGUGGCGAGCGGGCCGGCGGCUCGCGGGACUCUGCGAGCCCCAGAGGCCACAAUGCAGGCGGCAACGGCACAGCUAGUGGGAGGGCAGCCGUGCGCAGCGCAAUUCGCACGCACACGCUGGAGUCCGCCGCCAUUGUCUUCUCCACCCUUGGCUCGCUUCACCACAUCGGCCGCCAGGUGCAAGGAAUCGCCUUCGACGUGGUCAUCGUGGACGAGGCGUCGCAGGGAACAGAGCCGGCCGUGCUGCAGGCGGUUGCUCUCGCCAAGAGCAAGAGCGUGCUCGUCGGCGACUCCCGCCAGCUGCAGCCUACCGUGCUCUCUUGGGAGGCGAGCCGCUGCGGGCUGCGGCGCAGUCUGCUGGUGCGCUUGCUCGCCUGCGGCCACCCCUCCUUUCUGCUGCGCACGCAGUACCGCAUGCACCCCGACAUUGCCGCCUUCCCCAACGAGUACUUCUACGGCUCGAAGCUGCUCACCGAUCGAAGUGUGCUUGCGCGGUCGCGUGCGCCGGACAGCCCAACCGCCGCGCCGGCGACCAUCGCGCAGCAGCUCGGCCGAUGCCCACGCUUUGUGUUUGUGGACGUGCGCGACUCGCCGAUGGAGCGGCGGCGCGGCCGGUCGCUGCUCAACCGCCGCGAGGCCACCGCUGUGGUAGACUGCAUGCGGCAGCUGCGCGCGUUCUUCAAGAUGACGGUGCGCGAGAUGGCUGCACAUGUCGGCAUCAUCACCUUCUACACUGCGCAGAGGGAGACGAUUCUGUCGACCCUCACGCAGGAGGAGCGCCACAGUGGUGUGCAGGUGGCGACAGUGGACAGCUUCCAGGGGAAGGAGAAGCGGAUCAUCCUGCUGAGCUGUGUGCGGACGCUGAGCGCGGCGCAGCUGCAGCGGCGCGCGGCGCAAGGGGAAAAGGAGCGCAACAGCGAUGAUAGCGACGGUGUUGCCAGGGAGGAGCGCAGCGCAAAUCGACGCCUCGGUCGCUACGGGCUCGGAUUUCUGGCAGACUGGCAUCGCCUGAACGUCGCGCUGACGCGUGCGCAGGAUUUGUGCGUGUGUUUUGCGAGCCGCGACACCGUGCGUGCCGUGGGCAUGGCGGCCAUGGCGUCUGCGGCGCCGGCAAAUGCAGUGACCACGGUGGAUAGCUCGGCGGAGGAAGUGGAGCACCAGCUAGAUGCGGACGAUGAGGACCCCCUGGCGCUGUAUCGCAUGCUGGCGCACGCUGAAACUCGCGAUCCUACCCUACAGCCACCAGCGAGUGAGCCGGUGCUGCUUGAGGCGUCGACAGACUCCGUCGAGAUCGUGGACGCGCCAGGCGCGAGCCGCUCGCGAGCGGCUUGCUUGACAUACCGCUGCAAGGCUCACCUCGUGAGCGAGCUCACGGCGCGGGCAGGGGCCGCGCAGGCGCGGGAUGACCUCCGCAGCGCGCAGUGAGAGCACCCCGCACGCAAAGAUCGUGCGGUGGCCGCACCUGUGCGUCGCGCACACCCUGGGCGAUGGUGGAGGGCAGGGCGGAAGAAGGAGGCGGAACGGGUGGCGCAGCCGGUGCGCGCAUGUGGAGCGUUGGGGCGUUGUAUUACAGACGACCGAUGAUGCAAGAAGACACGAGCAGGAAAAUAUUGUGUGAUCACACAGCGAGCGCACAGACGCUAAUGUCGGGUGCGCGCACUUCGUGCUCAUCAGGAAGUGGCGCAUCCAAGAGCGUUGGCCCACACGUGGGCAUGAGUCCUG